rnacentral:rRNA from 1 species
GUUAGGAAUAUUGGACAAUGGGCGCAAGCCUGAUCCAGCCAUGCCGCGUGAACGAUGAAGGCCUUCGGGUUGUAAAGUUCUUUAGCCGAUGAUUAUAAUGACUGUAGUCGGAAAAUAAGCCCCGGCUAACUUCGUGCCAGCAGCCGCGGUAAUACGAAGGGGGCGAGCGUUAUUCGGAAUCACUGGGCGUAAAGCGUGCGUAGGCGGUCUCGUAAGUUAGGAGUGAAAGCCCAGGGCUCAACCUUGGAAUUGCUCUUAAUACUGCAAGGCUAGAAUCUCGGAGAGGAUAGCGGAAUUUCCAGUGUAGCAGUGAAAUGCGUAGAUAUUGGAAGGAACACCAGUGGCGUAAGCGGCUAUCUGGACGAGUAUUGACGCUGAGGCACGAAAGCGUGGGGAUCAAACAGGAUUAGAAACCCGGGUAGUCC